rnacentral:rRNA from 1 species
GGAGCGAAAGGCCUGUACGGAGCUAAUACCGCGUGAGGGAGGAAGGCUCAUUNGGUUGUAAACCUCUUUUCUCAGGGAAUAAGAACUGAAGGUACCUGAGGAAUCAGCAUCGGCUAACUCCGUGCCAGCAGCCGCGGNUAAUACGGAGGAUGCAAGCGUUAUCCGGAAUGAUUGGGCGUAAAGCGUCCGCAGGUGGUUUAUCAAGUCUGCUGUCAAAGAGUUUGGCUCAACCAAAUAAAGGCAGUGGAAACUGACAGACUGGAGUGCGGUAAGGGCAGAGGGAAUUCCUGGUGUAGCGGUGAAAUGCGUANAGAUCAGGAAGAACACCGGUGGCGAAAGCGCUCUGCUGGGCCGUAACUGACACUGAGGGACGAAAGCUAGGGGAGCGAAUGGGAUUAGAUACCCCAGUAGUC